AUUGAAUCUGGCUCAGGACGAACGCUGGCGGCGUGCUUAACACAUGCAAGUCGAACGAUGACGGUGGUGCUUGCACCGCCUGAUUAGUGGCGAACGGGUGAGUAACACGUGAGUAACCUGCCCUCCACUUCGGGAUAACCUCGGGAAAUCGUGGCUAAUACCGGAUAUGAGCACUCAUCGCAUGGUGGGUGUUGGAAAGAUUUAUCGGUGGGGGAUGGACUCGCGGCCUAUCAGUUUGUUGGUGAGGUGAUGGCUCACCAAGACGAUGACGGGUAGCCGGGCUGAGAGGGCGACCGGCCACACUGGGACUGAGACACGGCCCAGACUCCUACGGGAGGCAGCAGUGGGGAAUAUUGCACAAUGGGCGAAAGCCUGAUGCAGCGACGCCGCGUGGGGGAUGACGGCCUUCGGGUUGUAAACCCCUUUCAGUAGGGAAGAAGCGAGAGUGACGGUACCUGCAGAAGAAGCGCCGGCUAACUACGUGGCAGCAGCCGCGGUAAUACGUAGGGCGCAAGCGUUGUCCGGAAUUAUUGGGCGUAAAGAGCUUGUAGGUGGCUUGUCGCGUCUGCCGUGAAAACCCGAGGCUCAACCUCGGGCGUGCGGUGGGUACGGGCAGGCUAAAU
rnacentral:rRNA from 1 species